GCAUCGAUGGUUCAGUAGUAGAAUACUCGCCUGACACGCGGGCAGCGCGGGUUCGAUUCCCGACCGAUGCA